UACGUAGGCAGCAAGCGUUGUUCGGAGUUACUGGGCGUAAAGGGUGUGUAGGCGGUUCUCUAAGUCUGGUGGGAAAUCUCCCGGCUCAACUGGGAGGGUGCGCCGAAAACUGGAGGACUAGAGUGCGGGAUGGGAGAGUGGAAUUCCUGGUGUAGCGGUGAAAUGCGUAGAUAUCAGGAGGAACACCUGUGGUGUAGACGGCUCUCUGGACCGCAACUGACGCUGAGACACGAAAGCGUGGGUAGCAAACAGG
rnacentral:rRNA from 1 species